UUUUAAGAUCUUACCCCCUUUAUUUUAUCAAUGGGUAAAAUAUAUAAUAUGAAAUUUAAUAAAAAUAAUAAAAAUUUUGAUCAUCAAGAUUUUCAUGCGAGAUCUGUAUUUAAGUUAAGUGAUCAAAUGAGUGAACUAAAGGGCACACAUGACAUAUUGGUUGGAAAAUUUUAAUAUUAAUUUCUAUUUUUUUAAUUGUUUCUUACAACUCAUUAUUAUUAAAAACAUAUUUAAUUAAAGUUAACAAAAUAAAAUUGUUACUUAUAAAGCAAUAAAAAGUUAUAAGCACUACAUGCAAAGGAGAAAAAACAUGGCUCAAUUUCUCAUGUUUGUUUAUGCUUUGAUCUUCUUUCUUUCUAUAUUUCUUGCUACAGCUAGUAAAACUCUCUACAAGUGUGAAAAGAUAGAAGAUUGCCCGGAGAUGUUUAUGCAUCCAGUUAAAAAGUGCAUUAAUAAUUAUUGUGAGUACGAGAUGGAGUAAUAAUUUAAGUUUAAAAAUAAUUAUGUUAUUCUUUUCAAAAUAACUUCAAAGCAUACAAUUAUAUUUGUAUGUCAUAAUAUUUGUACUUUAAUAACUUAUUUCAAAAUUUAAUGUAUGUUUCUCUUUCCUUUAA